CCAGGGAACAUGUUAUCGAACUGGUCAGGUCCUGCAAACAUUCUGUGCACCUUACCGUCUGCCAACCUCAAAGCAGUAAUACAACAAGAAAGUCAGCUUUACUCACCGCUGCAAAAAAAGCAAAAUUAAAAUCCAAGCCUUCAAGGGUUCAUUUUGCUGAAGGCGUAGUUAUUAAUGGUUCACCAUUGUACAGUCCAUCCCCAUUUGAAUCGUGUAUGCCAUGCAUGCCUAAUGUAUUGAAGGUGUUCCUAGAAAAUGACCAAACAAAGUCUUUCAAGUAUGAUAGUACAACCACAGUACAGAAUGUGUUAAAUUCUCUUCAUGAGAAGUUAUCCAUCCAGUGCCCUGACCACUUUGGGCUCGUCGUAGAACAUAUCAAGUCCUUACGAAAAAAUAAACUGACACUGUUGGAUCCCAAAGACACCUUA